GCGGGGUUGGUGUAGUUGGUCAUCACGUCAGUCUAACAGAGCAUUCUGGAGCAAUUCGGAGUGUCUGAAGAGCACUGAAGGUCGCGAGUUCAAGUCUCGCAUCCCGUA